ACCUGCCUGACUUGGAUAUCUUCAGAAAGCUGGCUAAUCGAUAGAUCUUGUGCAUGUGGGGUCCAGCUCGCGAUCGGAUGACUCCGGCUAUCAGCUGUGGUGGGUAGGCUACAGCUUGACGGGUAGCGCUGAGAGGGUGACUGUCCACAUCGGAUUGAGAUACGUCAGACUCCUACGGGAGCAGCAGUGGGGAAUAUUGCACAUGGGCGGAAGCCUGAUGCAGCAUGCCGCGUGCGGGAUGACGCCUCGGGUUGUAAACCGCUUUCGCCUGUGACGAAGCGUGAGUGACGGUAAUGGGUAAAGAAGCACCGGCUAACUACGUGCCAGCAGCCGCGGUGAUACGUAGGGUGCGAGCGUUGUCCGGAUUUAUUGGGCGUAAAGGGCUCGUAGGUGGUUGAUCGCGUCGGAAGUGUAAUCUUGGGGCUUAACCCUGAGCGUGCUUUCGAUACGGGUUGACUUGAGGAAGGUAGGGGAGAAUGGAAUUCCUGGUGGAGCGGUGGAAUGCGCAGAUAUCAGGAGGAACACCAGUGGCGAAGGCGGUUCUCUGGGCCUUUCCUGACGCUGAGGAGCGAAAGCGUGGGGAGCGAACAGGCUUAGAUACCCUGGUAGUCCACGCUGUAAACGGUGGGUACUAGGUGUGGGGUCCAUUCCACGGGUUCCGUGCCGUAGCUAACGCUUUAAGUACCCCGCCUGGGGAGUACGGCCGCAAGGCUAAAACUCAAAGGAAUUGACGGGGCCCCGCACAAGCGGCGGAGCAUGCGGAUUAAUUCGAUGCAACGCGUAGAACCUUACCUGGGUUUGACAUGGAUCGGGAGUGCUCAGAGAUGGGUGUGCCUCUUUUGGGGUCGGUUCACAGGUGGUGCAUGGCUGUCGUCAGCUCGUGUCGUGAGAUGUUGGGUUAAGUCCCGCAACGAGCGCAACCCUUGUUCACUGUUGCCAGCACGUUAUGGUGGGGACUCAGUGGAGACCGCCGGGGUCAACUCGGAGGAAGGUGGGGAUGACGUCAAGUCAUCAUGCCCCUUAUGUCCAGGGCUUCACGCAUGCUACAAUGGCUGGUACAGAGAGUGGCGAGCCUGUGAGGGUGAGCGAAUCUCGGAAAGCCGGUCUCAGUUCGGAUUGGGGUCUGCAACUCGACCUCAUGAAGUCGGAGUCGCUAGUAAUCGCAGAUCAGCAACGCUGCGAAUGCAC
rnacentral:rRNA from 1 species